rnacentral:tRNA from 1 species
GCCUGGCUGGCUCAGUCGGUAGAGCGUGACUCUUGACCUUAGGGUUGUGAGUUCAAGUCUCACGUUGGGUG